rfam:Naumovozyma dairenensis CBS 421 chromosome 8, complete genome
UCCUUGUUAGCUCAGUUGGUAGAGCGUUCGGCUUUUAAACAACACAUUCGUUUAAACCAAGGAUACCGAAAUGUCAGGGGUUCGAGCCCCCUAUGAGGAG